AAUCCCUUCAUGCUUUUUGCGGUAAACGCUGUCUUUUUAGAGCCAUGGGAUAAUUCUACUGGCCACUCCUCAGAUGGGUUCUAGAGGUGCUUCCUGGGACACUGCUGCACAUUGUGCAGCACUGCCAUUCAGUGUUUCUGCCCUCUGCAUGGAGACACUGACCCUUUCUCAUAGAGAUGCAUUGAUUAAAUUAAUGUCUGAC